GUCACCUAUCUAAUCAUAUAUCUCAAUCAGGAAUAAAAUUUACAAACAACCACAGUAACUUCAGCCACGACACCAUACUCCAUAGAUAUCUUAUAUAUACACUAGAUGUCUAUGCACGACACGCGUGUAUAGAUCGUUAUCCAAGAUAUACAGAACUGUCAGAGCACCAUGCACACGCAUUAUACAUAUAUUAUGCCCUUACCAUACAAUAUCUCACUAUAUGGUCUACUCUCCAAACCCGGUGAAGACCCAAGAA
rnacentral:lncRNA from 1 species